rnacentral:rRNA from 1 species
GUGGGUAACCUGCCUGUAAGACUGGGAUAACUCCGGGAAACCGGGGCUAAUACCGGAUGCGCAUGGUUCAAUUAUAAAAGGUGGCUUUUAGCUACCACUUACAGAUGGACCCGCGGCGCAUUAGCUAGUUGGUGAGGUAACGGCUCACCAAGGCAACGAUGCGUAGCCGACCUGAGAGGGUGAUCGGCCACACUGGGACUGAGACACGGCCCAGACUCCUACGGGAGGCAGCAGUAGGGAAUCUUCCGCAAUGGACGAAAGUCUGACGGAGCAACGCCGCGUGAGUGAUGAAGGUUUUCGGAUCGUAAAACUCUGUUGUUAGGGAAGAACAAGUACCGUUCGAAUAGGGCGGUAACCUUGACGGUACCUAACCAGAAAGCCACGGCUAACUACGUGCCAGCAGCCGCGGUAAUACGUAGGUGGCAAGCGUUGUCCGGAAUUAUUGGGCGUAAAGCGCGCGCAGGCGGUUUCUUAAGUCUGAUGUGAAAGCCCCCGGCUCAACCGGGGAGGGUCAUUGGAAACUGGGGAACUUGAGUGCAGAAGAGGAGAGUGGAAUUCCACGUGUAGCGGUGAAAUGCGUAGAGAUGUGGAGGAACACCAGUGGCGAAGGCGACUCUCUGGUCUGUAACUGACGCUGAGGCGC